UCAUUGUCCGCCAUUGUUGCAUGAGCUUCGUCCGUCACAGUACUGGGAACGUAAGCUCGUGUUGAAUCGCGAUUUCUAUAAUCCUGAUUCAAGAGAAAGACAUCAGGAAGUCCAGUUUUGAAAAACAUUGAUUUCAGAGCAGAGCCAACAGAGAGAGAAUUAGAAGCGUGAAACAGAAAUAUAAGUUCAAGAAGUUUGAUAUUUUGGUACAAAAUUUAGAAGCAUACACGAUUAAAGGUCAUUUUUCAAAAUGAAUAGAUUAAAUACUAUCUAGAAACAGAACAAGCAUCUUCUUGUUAUAAUGCACAAAAUAACUUAGAUUCUUAAGGAAUGCUUCCUUAUCUUCAUAUUUGAAUUCAAUUACUUAUUCCAGUGUGGACCUUACAUAGAGAUCUGUAUCUUAGUAGUUUUUGUUUUAUAGACCGGAGAUUCACGUCUUGAGGUUCGUGAGCGUGUGUAAUAUAUCAGAGAUAAGCUUUUAGAGCUUCACGAGCUUCUUUUCUUUCUGGGGGAAAAUUGACCAGACUUCUAAGCGCCACAUGUCUAGGGAGAAGACAGAUAUAAUUUUGAAAGUAGUUGUAAAGCAUUUCUUAAUUGAGAAAGAGGUCACUUCUACUUUGGUAAUGGACUCCUUGCAUAGUGGAUUGAAGGCUCUUGAAGGCCAGACUAAAAACCAAAAAGCUAAAGUGAAAUGGCUGGAUGCUGAAGAAAUACCAGCACCAAUUGUUCAUGUUGAGAAAGACAUGUUUGUACUGGUGGAUUAUGUUUUACUGCUACUUGAAAGGGCUGCAAUAGAACCAUUGCCUCCUAAAGAUGAAAAGUGCCCUCAAAACCGGACAAAGGUAAGAUGUAGAAUUAUGUUUGUAAUAGUCACUGUGGAAUUUUGUGUUGAUGCCUGAUCUGAUAACUGGUGACAUGGUUGAGCACUGAUCUCUAUGAAAUGUGAUGGUAUUGGGCUGAGGUUUUUAGAAGAUGUAGUUGACAAAUAAGAGCAUAACAGAAUAUGUUUGAAUGGGGUCUAGACUAGGGAGAAAAGAAAACUGAAACUCUGCUAUUAUAUUCUGAAUAGCAUUAUAUUUAGGAUUGAUUUUCGCUCAAGUACUACUACUACAUCAGCUGGUCAUCUGAACUAUUAACCUUUAGAGUUAUUUGAUUUAUGCUUUUAUGCUUCAAUUUUUU